UAAUUGCUACAAACUAAUGAUUGAUAUUCAUAUAUAAUCACAUCUAAGAUCGAUAUCUAGUAUAACUAUUCUUAUUUUAUAUAUUUUAUUAUACUGGAACAGCUCGUGCCCUUGGUCUCUUGCCUCGGCACCUGGGUGGCUUGCCGCCCACAGUGGACCAUGGUUUUAGGAACUUUAUCCAGAGGUUUUGCAAUUUCAGAAAACUCCAUGACAACAUCAAGGCUGUUUGUGAACUCGAUCACCUGACAUCCACACCUGCGCCCGCCUACACCUGUGUUGACUCAGGAUGCUCCACACACAGUGUGCUCAAUACUAAUAGAUUUACAUUUUACUGUAAGUUAUUUUCCUUUUACACCUAAAGGAAAUGUACAAGGAAUUUUAUUUCAAAUAGAAAUUAUAUAAUAUAUUCAAAUAUAUAUAUUUUGAUAUAAUUUCUAUUUGAAUUAUAUAUAAUAUAUAAUAUGAAAUAUAUAUAUAUGGCUUAUGGGCUUCCAGAGUGCCACCACACACACCACACAGACCUGUACCCUGGGCUUUGUGAACAGGACACAUCCCAGGAACUAUGUUUCUAAAGCAAACCAAGAUAGCACCAAGAUAAAACAAGGUGGCAUUACGGGCUGAUGACCUGAAUUUUUGUAGGUUACAUUUUUAUGUGAUAAGCACGAUGGCCACUCUGACCCUGCGGAAAAGAUGGUAAAAAUAUGCUCCCUAUGGUGGUGCCAGAUGCAGCGGGGCUGCUAGGUGGAUUUCACAUCCAGAGCCCAUGUGUCUGAUUCACUCACUCUGGGCUUCAUGCUCCCAGGCAGUCCUCUUCCAGGACUGUACAAGGAGGAGGGUGGGCUCAGCGAUCAUGACCCCAGAGCAAAGAAAGGUGCUGGCUGCCUUCUAAAUCACAUGCCACCCAAAUGCUGGGGUCUGCGUAGGUAGCUAAGUAACUACAGAGCAAGCCCAUGAAGAUGUGAUUUUUUUUUAAGUGCUCAUGAAAUGAACCAUUGAUAUUUGGCAUACAUAUACAAAUAUGUGCACAGUGAAUACAUUAUGCCAUUUUUGUAGCUAUAUUUAUGUUUAUAAUAAUACACAUAAAGCUAUACAGAAGAUUGACUGCAAAACAAUAUAUUCUAACUGCAAAAACUGAUUGAAAUGUACACGUACAUUUACGAAAAGAUUCAUAUUCAAGUGUUGGCACACGAGGUUUCAAAGUCAAAAUGGAAGUUGUCUAUUUUGCCGUGUCCCUGAAACCCACUGAGAGGUGACCCACAUAGGCAGCGGGUAGGGAGCUGGGCCAGGCGGUACACAGCCGGCAGCGCCUCUUCUGCAUUCAGUUCCAUUCAAAGCCUGGGCACCUUCCCCGUGCUGGCACUGGAGAUGCAUUCAUGAAACUCCCUGUCUCCAGACAGAUGAGACAGUGAAAUGAACAACUAGAGUUUCUGGCGGUGUCCAAAUAAACCAGUUACAAAUUACUUAUCAUAAAACACAGAUUUACAUGAAAAAGUAUCAAGAUGUUUUUAAGGACAAAAUAUUUAUUAUGAAAACAAUGAGAAAUGAAAUUCUUGCGUAAGGAAACUGACGCACCUCAACAUUAUAGAGGGACCGACUUAAUGAUAUGGAUGCCCCCACCCCCCGUUGUAUAAAAACUUGAUAAACUGCCCUGAAGAAGGCCUCUGACCCAAUCACCACCCCCAGCUGCAAGCAUCCCCUGUAAGCCCGCUCUGCACCUGCCUAGAACUUUUUUGAGUCUCACUAUGUCUUCCAGGCUGGAAUGCAGUGGCACCAUCUCAGCUCACUGCAACCUCUACCUCCUCAGUUCAAGUGAUCUCCUGCCUCAGCCUCCCACGUAGCUGGGAUUACAGGCAUGCCAACAUGCCCAGCUAAUUUUUUGCAUAGAGAUGAGGUUUCAUCAUGUUGGCCCGGCUGGUCUCGAACUCCUGACCUCUGGUGAUCUUCCCACCUCAGCCUCCCAAAGUGCUGGGAUUACAGGCGUGAGCCACUGCAUCCGGCUUGCCUAGCACUUUUGAUACUAAGAAGAGUGUCUCUCCCUCUGCUGCACACCCAUAGGACGCUUUCCAUUUAACCCAAAGUGUCCAGGUACAGAGUUAGCAUCAGUGGAUCUUCAGGUGACUGACAGCCAGGCAGACAUGGGGUCCACACAUCCAGCAAUACAAGACAUCCCUGGAGAGUAUGUUUGUGGUUGGAUUUUUAUUUCUCUUAUUAGAGACCAGAGGUUG
rnacentral:lncRNA from 1 species